GGGCCCGCACAAGCGGUGGAGCAUGUGGUUUAAUUCGAUGAUACGCGAGGAACCUUACCAGGGCUUAAAUGUAGUCUGACAGCUUUAGAGAUAAAGUUUUCUUCGGACAGAUUACAAGGUGCUGCAUGGUUGUCGUCAGCUCGUGCCGUGAGGUGUCAGGUUAAGUCCUAUAACGAGCGCAACCCCUGUUGUUAGUUGCCAGCGAGUAAUGUCGGGAACUCUAACAAGACUGCCGGUGCAAACCGUGAGGAAGGUGGGGAUGACGUCAAAUCAUCACGGCCCUUACGUCCUGGCCACACACGUGCUACAAUGGCAGUGACAAUGGGUUAAUCCCAAAAAGCUGUCUCAGUU
rnacentral:rRNA from 1 species